CUUAUUUUUCUCCUUUCUCUUCUCUCCUGUUCUUCCGUCUCUGUCGAAUUCGAGAAAUCAAAUGGAGGAUUUGAGAUCGGUAGAAAGUGGAAUAGAUCAUGGGGUAGCUUCUAGUGAUGGUCUCUCUGUCUGUUGAUGAUUCAGACUCGUAGGAAGAGGUGAUUUAGAAGUUAGGGUUUCUGAGUUUUGAUAUUGAUUGAAGAUGAGAUCGAAACAAGAGGAGGAAGAUUAAUGAUGAGUAUUAAUUAUUGUAGCAAAGAAGAUGUUUUAACAAGUGAUUCACAAAUCGCAGUGAAGAAUCGGUAAUCUAGGGUUUAUAAGAAUAACCCAGAGAAGCGUUAGAAGAUGAAAUUGAUUACUAAUAAAGUAUAUUUGAGAUGGGUAUUGAUGUUCUAGGAUGUUGGUGUGAAAUGGGUUUGAAUUGUAUUGGAGUAUGAGGUUGAAAAACAGUUUGAAAUUGGUAGCUAGGGUUUGGAUUGUGUCUUAUUGAAGAUUGUCGAGAAUUGAAUGUGUUUAAUUGAUUAACUGAGUUAAGUGAAGAAGGAAUUGAAUCCAAUUGCCAGAGUAAUUCAUAUUUGAGGUAAUUGUUAAUUUCAGUAAAGAUUAGUUCAAUUCCAAUAUUGUGUUUAUAAGCUUCUCAGUGAACUGUGGAUGAAGUUUGUUGUAGUUUGAAGUUUUAAUAUUGUUGAGUUUGUGUAUAUGAUGUUGAAGUAAGAUUGCUAUAUUUACUGAAGUAUGGAUGUGAUUGAUGUCUGUGAAAUUUGGAUAUUGAAUUGUGAUUUGAAGAAUGGUGUUGAGUUGAUUAAACUGAAGUAAGUGUUUAAUAGAUAAUUAGAAGUUGGAGUUGUUGGUUCUGAGAAAGAAUAGUUGCAAUGAUGUACCAUGAAGAUUUGAGUUUUUAUAUAGUGAUACAUAUGGGUAUAUUGGUGUUGUCUGUGAAGAAUUAUGAAGUUAUGGAGUGCAGGUAGGGGAUGUAAUGGAUCUGAGUUAGGUUGUUGUAGUUUAAAAGUUGAAGAUUUUAGUUUGGUUGAAGGUUGAGAAUGGAUUACAGAUUGUUGGGUUGAGUUAUAAGUUGAAAUGGUGUUGCUGAAGUUACAGGGGAUAUGAGUGGCUGGUGGAGGUAUAGAAACUAGGUGCUGGUGUUGUUAAUAUCAGAGAAGAUACAAGUAAUGGUUUUGUAAAAUAAAUGGGACUGAAGUUGGAGACUAGUAUGUGGAUGAUGGCAGACAAGAGUGUGUAUUGGAAAGGUACUAGAGGUGAACAAGGAUGUUAGAAACCUAGAUUUGAGCCGAAAAGAUACACAGUGGGGAAUGAAGUAUGAAAUCUGUUUCAGGUUAAAUUGUUAGUUAGACCUGCAGGUGACUGUAGUUGAGUUUGGUGUUGAUUGUUGUUAGUGUUUGCUGUAAAGCUUGGAACUGCUGAACUGCAGUUAGUCUGUAUUAACAACGAUCGAUUCAAAGGAUGAACCAGUGGAUCGUGGAUCUCGAGGUAGGCGUGGCUUGUCAUCAAAAGAGGUGGGAAUACAUUUGACUCUUUGGUAACCAUUAUUGUUUUCCUUUACAAAAGUUUAUGUUUAAUAAACUCAUGUAUUUUUGUUUGUGCGUUCUAUGCCUUGUUUGACUUGUUUUACGAUAAUUCUGUUGAUUCUGUUAAUCUUUCCAUGAUUUGGAAAGGACCUGUAAUGUGUUGUGGUCAAUAUGAAUUGUUAUGGGAAAUAAGAAUUUCCACGUGUGGUAUAUAGGA